rnacentral:rRNA from 1 species
CAAGUCGAACGGCAGCGCGGGGCAACCUGGCGGCGAGUGGCGAACGGGUGAGUAAUAUAUCGGAACGUACCCUGGAGUGGGGGAUAACGUAGCGAAAGUUACGCUAAUACCGCAUACGAUCUAAGGAUGAAAGUGGGGGAUUCGCAAGAACCUCAUGCUCCUGGAGCGGCCGAUAUCUGAUUAGCUAGUUGGUGGGGUAAAGGCCUACCAAGGCAUCGAUCAGUAGCUGGUCUGAGAGGACGACCAGCCACACUGGAACUGAGACACGGUCCAGACUCCUACGGGAGGCAGCAGUGGGGAAUUUUGGACAAUGGGCGAAAGCCUGAUCCAGCAAUGCCGCGUGAGUGAAGAAGGCCUUCGGGUUGUAAAGCUCUUUUGUCAGGGAAGAAACGGUGCGGGCUAAUAUCCUGCACUAAUGACGGUACCUGAAGAAUAAGCACCGGCUAACUACGUGCCAGCAGCCGCGGUAAUACGUAGGGUGCAAGCGUUAAUCGGAAUUACUGGGCGUAAAGCGUGCGCAGGCGGUUUUGUAAGUCUGUCGUGAAAUCCCCGGGCUCAACCUGGGAAUUGCGAUGGAGACUGCAAGGCUAGAAUCUGGCAGAGGGGGGUAGAAUUCCACGUGUAGCAGUGAAAUGCGUAGAGAUGUGGAGGAACACCGAUGGCGAAGGCAGCCCCCUGGGUCAAGAUUGACGCUCAUGCACGAAAGCGUGGGGAGCAAACAGGAUUAGAUACCCUGGUAGUCCACGCCCUAAACGAUGUCUACUAGUUGUCGGGUUUUAAUUAACUUGGUAACGCAGCUAACGCGUGAAGUAGACCGCCUGGGGAGUACGGUCGCAAGAUUAAAACUCAAAGGAAUUGACGGGGACCCGCACAAGCGGUGGAUGAUGUGGAUUAAUUC